AUGAAUUUAAUUCCGAAAAUCUCUACUGUCAAAGGCUCCAAGUGCCAAGUAUGUGUGCAAGCUAAGCAACCUCGUAAGUCCCAUAAGACUGCAGAGGCAAGAGACUUGGUGCCACUAGAGCUUAUACAUUCUGAUCUUUGUGAGAUGAAUGGCGUGAUGACAAAAGGUGGAAAGAGAUACUUCAUGACGUUGAUUGAUGACUCCACUAGAUAUUGUUAUGUGUAUCUUUUGAAAUCAAAAGAUGAGGCUUUGACUUUCUUUAAAAACUAUAAAGCUGAGGCAGAGAACCAACUUGAUCGGAAAAUUAAACGGCGUAGGUCCGAUCGUGGUGGAGAGUAUUUUUCCAAUGAAUUUGAUCUGUUUUGUGCGGAACAUGGUACAAUCCAUGAAAGGACGCCUCCCUACUCACCCCAGUCAAAUGGAGUAGCUGAAAGAAAGAACCGAACUCUAACUGAUAUGGUUAACACCAUGUUAGACACUUCGGGUCUAUCCAAGGAAUGGUGGGGGGAGGCACUAAUGACUGCAUGUCAUGUCCUAAACCAAGUUCCCACAAAGCAUAAGACUAUGACUCCAUUUGAGCAAUGGGAAAGGAAAAGGUUGAAACUCUCUUACCUACGUACUUGGGAUUGUUUGGCGAAAGUCAAUAUACCAAUUCCCAAGAAGCGCAAGCUUGGACCAAAAACCGUGGAUUGUAUUCUUCUGGGCUAUGCUUUUCAUAGCAUCAGCUAUAGAUUUUUGAUAAUAAAAUUUGAGGUAUCCGACAUGCAUGUUGGUACGAUUAUGGAAUCAAAUGAUGCAACUUUCUUUGAGGACAUAUUUCCUAUGAAGGAUAUGUCAAGUUCAUCAAAUCAGGAGAUACCUACUCCAUCUAGUGAGGAAUUCACUGUAAUUCCUGAACCCACCAUUGUGAUGGAACACAUUGAGAAUCCUGUUGAGGGUAACAAUGGAACUCCUGUGAGGAGUAAGAGACAGAGGACUGCAAAGUCUUUUGGUGAUGAUUUCAUUGUGUACCUCGUGGAUGACACACCCAGGACAAUUUCAGAAGCAUAUGCGUCUCCUGAUGCUGACUACUGGAAGGAAGCUGUACGUAGUGAGAUGGAUUCCAUCUUAGCUAACGGUACCUGGGAGAUCACUGACCGUCCAUAUGGGUGCAAACCUGUAGGAUGUAAGUGGGUGUUCAAGAAGAAGCUUAGACCUGAUGGUACGAUUGAAAAGUACAAGGCACGGCUUGUGGCCAAGGGUCAUACCCAGAAAGAAGGUGAAGACUUCUUUGAUACUUACUCACCCGUGGCUAGACUGACCACAAUUCGGGUGCUACUAUCACUGGCUGCCUCACAUGGUCUUCUCGUUCAUCAAAUGGACGUUAAGACGGCUUUCCUUAAUGGAGAGUUGAAGGAGGAAAUUUACAUGGAUCAGCCAGAUGGUUUUGUAGUACCUGGUCAGGAAGGAAAGGUGUGCAAGUUAUUAAAGUCUUUAUAUGGCCUUAAACAAGCUCCUAAGGAGUGGCAUGAGAAGUUCGAAAGAACAUUAACUGCUGCCGGCUUUGUAGUAAAUGAUGGUGACAAGUGCGUGUGCUAUCACUAUGGUGGGGGCGAAGGAGUUAUUCUUUGUCUGUAUGUCGAUGACAUAUUGAUCUUUGGAACCAAACUUGAUUUAAUCAAGGAGGUUAAGGAUUUCUUAUCUCGCUGUUUUGAGAUGAAGGAUCUAGGAGUAGCUGAUGUUAUCUUAAACAUCAAGCUGUUGAGAGAUGAGAAUGGUGGGAUCACACUGCUUCAGUCUCAUUAUGUGGAAAAGGUCUUGAGUCGUUUUGGGUACAGCGACUGCACGCCUUCUCCAACUCCAUAUGAUGCUAGUGUGUUGCUUCGAAAGAACCGACGGAUUGCUAGAGAUCAACUGAGGUAUUCUCAGAUUAUUGGCUCACUUAUGUAUUUGGCGAGUGCCACGAGGCCUGACAUCUCUUUUGCUGUGAGCAAGCUGAGUCGGUUUGUGUCAAAACCGGGAGAUGAUCAUUGGCAUGUGCUUGAGAGAGUUAUGCGCUAUUUGGAAGGCACCGCGAGCUAUGGGAUUCACUACACCGGGUAUCCAAGGGUACUGGAGGGUUAUAGUGACUCAAACUGGAUAUCUGAUGCUGAUGAGAUUAAGGCCACAAGUGGUUAUGUUUUUACACUUGGUGGUGGCGCUGUUUCCUGGAAGUCUUGCAAGCAGACCAUCUUAACGAGGUCAACUAUGGAAGCAGAACUCACAGCAUUAGACACUGCCACUGUUGAAGCAGAGUGGCUUCGUGAACUCUUGAUGGACUUACCUAUGGUUGAAAAACCAAUACCCCCUAUCCUGAUGAACUGUGAUAAUCAAACUGUGAUCGUCAAGAUAAACAGUUCUAAGGACAAUAUGAAGUCCUCAAGGCAUGUGAAGAGGAGACUAAAAUCUGUCAGAAAAUUGAGGAACUCCGGAGUUAUUACGUUGGAUUAUAUCCAAACGUCGAAAAACUUGGCAGGUCCCUUCACAAAGGGUCUAUCACGUAAUGUGAUAGAUAAUGCAUCGAUGGAGAUGGGUUUGAGACCCACCGCAGAUGUUGUCCUGCAGAACAUCUUCUGA
rnacentral:rRNA from 1 species